rnacentral:lncRNA from 1 species
CCAUAACCAAUUUCCAAAAUUCUUUUUCUAGAUUAGAUUUGCCAAAUGGGAAAAUCAGCGAAUCAUCAAAUCACAACAAUUUACUUCCCAUUUAAUAUCACUCAACACCACCUUCCCUUCUUAAUCAUUUUGAUUUUCAUUCUCAUCUCUAGAGAGAGAAACUCACACAGAUUUUGAGAGAGAGAGAGAAACACCAACAUAGGGAUCUCUCUCCUUUUCUCGUACCUGUUCAUCUUAAAAACUAGAUUAUGUUCUUCCUUUUAUCGCUAACACAGUUGUUUGAUUAAUUGAUUAUGUUUGAAUUUUGGAUAAUUUGACGAAAUCGAGUUCGUUGAGCUGAAGAUUUUCACGAUUUGGUCGAGGACGAGAAGUGUUUUCGAUUUGUUCAAUGCUUGUUGUUAUGACUCUUUGUGCAUUUCGGGGGCUAAAAGAUGGAUUAAGUGCAGCUUUGGAGACUUUGGUGAUGAACGGGUCGAGCAUGGAACAAGAGACAAAACAAAGAAGACAAAUCAGCUCAUCACCGUAAAUUACGGUCCUACCGUAAUUUACGGUGGACGUGGAUUUCAUUUUAUGCUCACCGUAAAUCAGUAGAGAAUCACCAUAAAACUUUUAUGUUCACCGUAAAUUACGGUGAUGCCGUAAUUUACGGUGGUGUCUGCGAGAAAACUUGUAACUGCCACAUUUAAGUUAGUUUGAGGGGGUCUUUUCAUCAUUCCUCAUCAUUGGACGGUUUUGGAUCAUCUUGGGGGCGAAUUUUGGCUGCUUAUUUGGUGUUUGAACAAUUCUUAUCAUCCGGUUUUUAUUUUCGAUUCGUAUGAACAUUGGUUUGAUUAUGAUGAUGAUUCACCAAGCCAUGUCCGGCUAAACUCUUCGGUGAUCAUCUUAGGU